UUAGAAGCUGCAUCCAGAUCUGGCUCUGA
rnacentral:piRNA from 1 species